GCAGUCCCCCCCAUUACCCCUCCCUCCAGCCCCUGGUGACCGCUAAUCUAGUUUCUGUCUCUGUGGAUUUGCCUGUUCUGUACAUUUCAUAGAAAUGGAACCUAUUCAAUGCACGGCCUUUGUGUCUGGCUUUUUUUACUGAGCAUAACAUUUCCAAGGCUUGUCCAUUUUGUAAUGUGUAUCAGCGCUUCUUUCUUUUUUACUCCUGAAUAGAGUCCAUUGUAUAGUCUAAUACAUUCUAAUGUAUCCAUUGUUUGGAUAUAUGACAUUUUGUUUAUCCAUUCAUGAGUUGAUGGACAAUUGGCUUUUUCCCUCUUUUUGGCUAUUAUGAAUAAUGUUGCUAUGAACGUUCAUGUCUAAGUUUUUGUGGACAUUUGUCUUCAUUUCUCUGAGGUGUACACCUAAGAGUGGAGUUGCUGUUUGACCUUUUGAGGAAACAACAGACUGUUUUCCAAAGUGACUGCACCAUUUUCCAUUCCCGCUGGCAGUGUACCAGCGUUCCCCGCUCACGUCCCCCACAACCCGCUGUGACUGUUGGGCUUUUUAUUGCAGCCAGCACAGUAGGUGUGACGUCGUAUCACUGAGGGGUCAGUUUGCAUUUCCCUAAUGAUUCGUGAUGCUGAGCUUAUCUGACACUGAUUAUCUUCAUUGGAGGAAUGUCUGUUCAGUCCUCUCACUAUCUUGGUAGUGUCCUUUCAGACAUAAAAGUUUUAAAUUUUGGUGAAAUCCAAUUUACAUAUGUUCUCCCUUUGUUGCUUGUGCUUUUGUGGCUACAUUACUUGAUGGAGGACGGGAGCUGCCCGGCCUCCUGGGUCGUUAGAAAGGAAACCUCUUGGCGGACACGGUGGUCCACUCCUGUAAUUCCAGCACUUUGCGAGGCCGAGACCGGUGGAUCACUUGAGGUCAGGAGUUCGAGAACAGCCUGGCCAACAUGGCAAAACUCCCGACUCUACUAAAAAACUACAAAUAUUAGCCGGGCAUGGUGGUAAGCACCCGUAGUUCCAGCUACUCAGGAGGCUGAGGCAGGAGAAUCGCUUGAACCCGGGAGGCGCAAGCUAUGAUGAGCCGGGAUGACACCACUGCACUCCAGCCUGGGUGACAGCGAGACAAGAAAGAAAGGAAAGAAGAGAAGGUGAAGGAGAAGGAAGGAAGGAAAUAAACCUCUUUUCUGUCUGAGCCAUUUCAUUUUGGGCCUGUCUGUCCCAGAGGUUUAACUACACUAGUAUAGAGCAUCGUUUACUAAAGGUUUGUUGAGGUUUGUUGUUGAUUUGUUUCUACUUACACGAGAUGUCUUCAUUUUUACCCUCGGUCUUGAAAUAAAAUUUUGGUGCAUGUUCAUU
rnacentral:lncRNA from 1 species